rnacentral:rRNA from 1 species
GGUUAAGCGACUAAGCGUACACGGUGGAUGCCCUGGCAGUCAGAGGCGAUGAAGGACGUGCUAAUCUGCGAUAAGCGUCGGUAAGGUGAUAUGAACCGUUAUAACCGGCGAUUUCCGAAUGGGGAAACCCAGUGUGUUUCGACACACUAUCAUUAACUGAAUCCAUAGGUUAAUGAGGCGAACCGGGGGAACUGAAACAUCUAAGUACCCCGAGGAAAAGAAAUCAACCGAGAUUCCCCCAGUAGCGGCGAGCGAACGGGGAGGAGCCCAGAGCCUGAAUCAGUGUGUGUGUUAGUGGAAGCGUCUGGAAAGGCGCGCGAUACAGGGUGACAGCCCCGUACACAAAAAUGCACAUACUGUGAGCUCGAUGAGUAGGGCGGGACACGUGGUAUCCUGUCUGAAUAUGGGGGGACCAUCCUCCAAGGCUAAAUACUCCUGACUGACCGAUAGUGAACCAGUACCGUGAGGGAAAGGCGAAAAGAACCCCGGCGAGGGGAGUGAAAAAGAACCUGAAACCGUGUACGUACAAGCAGUGGGAGCCUCUUUUAUGGGGUGACUGCGUACCUUUUGUAUAAUGGGUCAGCGACUUAUAUUCUGUAGCAAGGUUAACCGAAUAGGGGAGCCGAAGGGAAACCGAGUCUUAACUGGGCGUUAAGUUGCAGGGUAUAGACCCGAAACCCGGUGAUCUAGCCAUGGGCAGGUUGAAGGUUGGGUAACACUAACUGGAGGACCGAACCGACUAAUGUUGAAAAAUUAGCGGAUGACUUGUGGCUGGGGGUGAAAGGCCAAUCAAACCGGGAGAUAGCUGGUUCUCCCCGAAAGCUAUUUAGGUAGCGCCUCGUGAAUUCAUCUCCGGGGGUAGAGCACUGUUUCGGCAAGGGGGUCAUCCCGACUUACCAACCCGAUGCAAACUGCGAAUACCGGAGAAUGUUAUCACGGGAGACACACGGCGGGUGCUAACGUCCGUCGUGAAGAGGGAAACAACCCAGACCGCCAGCUAAGGUCCCAAAGUCAUGGUUAAGUGGGAAACGAUGUGGGAAGGCCCAGACAGCCAGGAUGUUGGCUUAGAAGCAGCCAUCAUUUAAAGAAAGCGUAAUAGCUCACUGGUCGAGUCGGCCUGCGCGGAAGAUGUAACGGGGCUAAACCAUGCACCGAAGCUGCGGCAGCGACGCUUAUGCGUUGUUGGGUAGGGGAGCGUUCUGUAAGCCUGCGAAGGUGUGCUGUGAGGCAUGCUGGAGGUAUCAGAAGUGCGAAUGCUGACAUAAGUAACGAUAAAGCGGGUGAAAAGCCCGCUCGCCGGAAGACCAAGGGUUCCUGUCCAACGUUAAUCGGGGCAGGGUGAGUCGACCCCUAAGGCGAGGCCGAAAGGCGUAGUCGAUGGGAAACAGGUUAAUAUUCCUGUACUUGGUGUUACUGCGAAGGGGGGACGGAGAAGGCUAUGUUGGCCGGGCGACGGUUGUCCCGGUUUAAGCGUGUAGGCUGGUUUUCCAGGCAAAUCCGGAAAACAAGGCUGAGGCGUGAUGACGAGGCACUACGGUGCUGAAGCAACAAAUGCCCUGCUUCCGUGAAAAGCCUCUAAGCAUCAGGUAACAUCAAAUCGUACCCCAAACCGACACAGGUGGUCACAAAUGCCCUGCUUCCAGGAAAAGCCUCUAAGCAUCAGGUAACAUCAAAUCGUACCCCAAACCGACACAGGUGGUCAGGUAGAGAAUACCAAGGCGCUUGAGAGAACUCGGGUGAAGGAACUAGGCAAAAUGGUGCCGUAACUUCGGGAGAAGGCACGCUGAUAUGUAGGUGAAGCGACUUGCUCGUGGAGCUGAAAUCAGUCGAAGAUACCAGCUGGCUGCAACUGUUUAUUAAAAACACAGCACUGUGCAAACACGAAAGUGGACGUAUACGGUGUGACGCCUGCCCGGUGCCGGAAGGUUAAUUGAUGGGGUUAGCGGUAACGCGAAGCUCUUGAUCGAAGCCCCGGUAAACGGCGGCCGUAACUAUAACGGUCCUAAGGUAGCGAAAUUCCUUGUCGGGUAAGUUCCGACCUGCACGAAUGGCGUAAUGAUGGCCAGGCUGUCUCCACCCGAGACUCAGUGAAAUUGAACUCGCUGUGAAGAUGCAGUGUACCCGCGGCAAGACGGAAAGACCCCGUGAACCUUUACUAUAGCUUGACACUGAACAUUGAGCCUUGAUGUGUAGGAUAGGUGGGAGGCUUUGAAGUGUGGACGCCAGUCUGCAUGGAGCCGACCUUGAAAUACCACCCUUUAAUGUUUGAUGUUCUAACGUUGGCCCGUAAUCCGGGUUGCGGACAGUGUCUGGUGGGUAGUUUGACUGGGGCGGUCUCCUCCUAAAGAGUAACGGAGGAGCACGAAGGUUGGCUAAUCCUGGUCGGACAUCAGGAGGUUAGUGCAAUGGCAUAAGCCAGCUUGACUGCGAGCGUGACGGCGCGAGCAGGUGCGAAAGCAGGUCAUAGUGAUCCGGUGGUUCUGAAUGGAAGGGCCAUCGCUCAACGGAUAAAAGGUACUCCGGGGAUAACAGGCUGAUACCGCCCAAGAGUUCAUAUCGACGGCGGUGUUUGGCACCUCGAUGUCGGCUCAUCACAUCCUGGGGCUGAAGUAGGUCCCAAGGGUAUGGCUGUUCGCCAUUUAAAGUGGUACGCGAGCUGGGUUUAGAACGUCGUGAGACAGUUCGGUCCCUAUCUGCCGUGGGCGCUGGAGAACUGAGGGGGGCUGCUCCUAGUACGAGAGGACCGGAGUGGACGCAUCACUGGUGUUCGGGUUGUCAUGCCAAUGGCACUGCCCGGUAGCUAAAUGCGGAAGAGAUAAGUGCUGAAAGCAUCUAAGCACGAAACUUGCCCCGAGAUGAGUUCUCCCUGAGACUUUAAGUCUCCUGAAGGAACGUUGAAGACGACGACGUUGAUAGGCCGGGUGUGUAAGCGCAGCGAUGCGUUGAGCUAACCGGUACUAAUGAACCGUGAGGCUUAACCUU